rnacentral:rRNA from 1 species
AUUGAACGCUGGCGGCAGGCCUAACCCAUGCAAGUCGAACGAGUGGCGGACGGGUGAGUAAUGUCUGGGAAACUGCCCGAUGGAGGGUGAUAACUACUGGAAACGGUAGCUACUACCGCAUACCAUCAGAUGUGCCCAGAUGGGAUUAGCUAGUAGGUGGGGUAAAGGCUCACCUAGGCGACGCUCCCUAGCUGGUCUGAGAGGAUGACAAGCCACACUGGAACUGAGACACGGUCCAGACUCCUACGGGAGGCAGCAGUGGGGAAUAUUGCACAAUGGGCGCAAGCCUGAUGCAGCCAUGCCGCGUGUAUGAAGAAGGCCUUCGGGUUGUAAAGUACUUUCAGCGGGGAGGCGUUACCCGCAGAAGAAGCACCGGCUAACUCCGUGCCAGCAGCCGCGGUAAUUC